GCGGGGUCGGUUGGACUUCGUGACGGUUCGUGCUACUGGUUCACUGGUCAUUCUUGACGGUUCGUGAUUCUUGUAGCCUUUUUAUUUAGGUCCUGACUUCUAGGAAACGGGUUGUUGUCACUAACCCUUUUUUUGUGUGUAUCUGUUCACGUGCGUGCUAUUGUGUCAUUACAUUAAUAGGGCAGUGUUAUUGACUCUCCAGAGUGGCAGAAUUGGGAUGGUUAAAUGAUUUGACGGAGCGUUACUGUUCAGUUAACAUUUGGUUACAAAGUACAUCAAGUGAUUUUUUAAUAGAAAACCCCCCCACAAAAAACCAACCAACAAACAAACGACAAUGCCAGUGUACUCUCGUCAGUUGGAGGAUAAAGUCGAGUUUUGGAAGUAGGAGCUUUCAUAGAUUGCUAGCAUGUGCGUGCGAGACAAGCUCUUGGAUACGACUUAUAUACUGACUGAAAGUUCAAAGACAAUAAACAAGAGAACAGAACAAAGGCAGUCAAACAACACUAUGGCACUAAAGAGCUGGAUUUCAUGGAGAAUUCAACAACACGAUUUUUGUGAAGAUUGAGCAUCUCAAGAAGGCCGGUGUCAUUGUCUUACCGCAAUCAAGCAUCACACCUAAGCAAAAACACUGAACUGCGUGCGGAGUACCCCGGACAAAAAUAUUCCUUUGGAAAAAAAACGUCACACGGAUAUCUUCCCUAAUUAAACAGCGUUGAUGAGCCGGUCUUUCAAGCACACGACUUCUCAGCAGCACAAACAUCUCUCCGCUAACAAGACUGUCAGCACUUGAAGACAACUGCUGCUUGACACUUCCUUGUACCUGUCCUGUUUGAACAGUGACGUCAAAGCUGACACAUCGGUGACUCAACGGCAAGAUGAAGUACUUUCAAUUGCUGGUGCCUGUCUUCGUCACCAUCUUCUCCACCAUAUUUUGUGAGUACCCAACUGUCAUGUCUGUGUCUUUGAUCUAGUAUUGUCAACAGCAUGUCUCAUUGUGUACCCUUUUUGCCAGUCACUAUUUAGAAGCAAGUCACCACCUUGGUCAGUUACGCGGAGGGUUGAGAAUUAAACCCAAAUUGGGUCUCCUUCCUGCCUCCGGAAAAUAAACUCUUGUCAACUUCAUCUCGUAGGUUUGGCUCUGCAAAAUAAACUACGAUGUGUUAAUGUAAAAUAGCCGGUCUUUGAAAACGCUAAUAAGACGGCGUUUAUGGUUAUAGCAGAAUUUCCCACAAACUAUCGUGUCCGUCUGGACUGUUGCUCUCAAUAAACGUAUUUAUUUUGUUUAUCCUUAUUUCAAGUAAAGUGUGGCCCAUAGAAAAACACAUAAUGUAAUUAAGCUAAAAUCUCACACUAAUUAACCAAAACGGAAAAAAUUGCUUAUUAAUGGUUGGAUGGGAACGUUUUUUGUAGUCAUUGCCAUACAUUAAUUCACCGCCUACCCACCCCGCAUAAUUAUGCUGUGGACAAAGUUCUGUUUCAACCGUCUUCCUUUGUUGCAGCCUCGGUCAUUUAGGACUUAGGCAUUUUUUUUUCGCUUUAUUGCUACAGAUAUAUUCAUGACUCUUAUAAAAGUUAGUUAAGUCAGUGAAUCUUUUAAAUACGCAUUGAAAUGGCAUUUACACAGGAGAUAACAAUGAUAAAUAUUACAGGUUGGCAGUGAGUUAAUACAUAUUCAGUUUUGAAAUAAGUCGUCAAUAAUACCAAAAGUUUAUUUAAGAUAAUACUCCUGUAGCAGGUGGUCAGAAUUCAACACAAAGAAACUAACAAAAACCUGAACUCAGCAAAGCAUCAUUAUCCACAACAUCAACAAUGCCACCACCACCACGAA
rnacentral:lncRNA from 1 species